rnacentral:lncRNA from 1 species
CUCUUUUAUUUUCUGUGACUCUUUUCUUAAUGAAGAUUUGUUUGCUGUCUUUCUCUAAGAAUAUCAUUGUACUUUGUUGUAGGGACACACUGUUUUUAAUACAGCCAAAUCACUUGUGAGUAUUUCUAACAAUUUUUAUGGUCAAUGCUUUAGUUUUUAGUUUACUGAGGCAUUUCAUACAAGAAUCCAUAUUUGAUUGUCUGAAGAGAUGUGGGGACAAAGGUCCAUAGCGGUACAGUAUAUUAAAUAAUUAAGAUGCAUAGUGUAUGCUACUACAAUACAGUUUGACUUUGUGUCUACAUUAAAACACUACAGUUGUUCUUUUUUUUAUAAAUUGGAUACCAUGCCAAUAUUCAUGAAUCUUCACAACUGGCUAAUUUCCCAGUUACUUCCUUGCUGAACUGAGAUGCCUCCAAGUGCCCUUUCAAAACUGUUGUUAUAAAUCCACUAUGAGUGAAAGUUUCUUCUGUUCUUUUAAUUAUUUUGCUUUGAUCUUAAAUUUCAUGGAUCCUACCUGCUUCUCAUUCUCUUUUCAGAUUGGAAGGUGUGUUUUUUUAAAUGUCAUUCUGAAGCAAUGUGUGCAUUGAUGGUGCUAAAUGAACGAUAUGAACCAGGAGGUUUUUGGUUGACUAAGGACUGGUUUGUUCUACCCACCUCCAGGCCUAAGAAGUAACUGUGUUUUUAUGCAUUGCAGGUUGACAAAGUUGGGCAUUUAUUGGGUCAUUUAUUCCGAAAGAAGAGAUCUGCAGAGCCUGAACCUGUGCUAAGCCUGGUUAGUGAUCUUCUAAGCGGCGGUGGAGUUGGUGGUCUUCUAGGGCGCCGAAAGAGAUCUCCAGUAGACACUCCUGCCGUACACGUUCCCGUUGAACCACAUGACCCAAGCAUUCCAGAACAAAUAUCAACCCUUGUGCAUGAAGUAGAAACAGUGAUUGGUGAGAUCAUGACCACGGUGCCAGAAGAGGUGAGUACUGUUGACAAUUUUGCAAGAAACAUUGUUUUCUUUCUACUAAACAUAGAAUAAAGACUGAAUUUGAUUGAGAUAUGGUA